rnacentral:rRNA from 1 species
UACGUCCCUGCCCUUUGUACACACCGCCCGUCGCUACUACCGAUUGAAUGGCUCAGUGAGGCCUUCGGACUGGCUCAGGGAGGUCGGCAACGACCACCCAGAGUCGGAAAGUUGGUCAAACUCGGUCAUUUAGAGGAAGUAAAAGUCGUAACAAGGUCUCCGUAGGUGAACCUGCGGAGGGAUCAUUACUGAGUGAGGGCUUCCGACCCGACCUCCAACCCUUUGUGAACACAUCUUGUUGCUUCGGGGGCGACCCUGCCGUUCGCGGCAUUCCCCCCGGAGGUCAUCAAAACACUGCAUUCUUACGUCGGAGUAAAAAGUUAAUUUAAUAAAACUUUCAACAACGGAUCUCUUGGUUCUGGCAUCGAUGAAGAACGCAGCGAAAUGCGAUAAGUAAUGUGAAUUGCAGAAUUCAGUGAAUCAUCGAAUCUUUGAACGCACAUUGCGCCCCCUGGUAUUCCGGGGGGCAUGCCUGUUCGAGCGUCAUUUCACCACUCAAGCCUCGCUUGGUAUUGGGCGUCGCGAGUCUCUCGCGCGCCUCAAAGUCUCCGGCUGUGCGGUUCGUCUCCCAGCGUUGUGGCAACUAUUUCGCAGUGGAGUUCGAGUCGUCGUGGCCGUUAAAUCUUUCAAAGGUUGACCUCGGAUCAGGUAGGGAUACCCGCUGAACUUAAGCAUAUCAAUAAGCGGAGGAAAAGAAACCAACAGGGAUUGCCCUAGUAACGGCGAGUGAAGCGGCAACAGCUCAAAUUUGAAAUCUGGCGCAAGCCCGAGUUGUAAUUUGUAGAGGAUGCUUCUAGGUAGCGACCGGUCUAAGUUCCUUGGAACAGGACGUCA